AUACGUAGGUGGCAAGCGUUGUCCGGAAUUACUGGGCGUAAAGAGCUCGUAGGUGGUUUGUCGCGUCGUCUGUGAAAUUCCGGGGCUUAACUCCGGGCGUGCAGGCGAUACGGGCAUAACUUGAGUACUGUAGGGGAGACUGGAAUUCCUGGUGUAGCGGUGAAAUGAGCAGAUAUCAGGAGGAACACCGGUGGCGAAGGCGGGUCUCUGGGCAGUAACUGACGCUGAGGAGCGAAAGCAUGGGUAGCGAACAGGAUUAGAUACCCUGGUAGUCCAUGCCGUAAACGGUGGGCGCUAGGUGUAGGGGUCUUCCACGACUUCUGUGCCGUAGCUAACGCAUUAAGCGCCCCGCCUGGGGAGUACGGCCGCAAGGCUAAAACUCAAAUGAAUUGACGGGG
rnacentral:rRNA from 1 species